rnacentral:rRNA from 1 species
CUUGCUGGGUGGAUUAUGGCGAACGGGUGAGUAACACGUGAGUAACCUGCCCCCGACUCUGGGAUAACCCCGGGAAACUGGGUCUAAUACCGGAUAUUACCUUUGACCGCAUGGUUGUUGGUGGAAAGAUUUAUCGGUGGGGGAUGGACUCGCGGCCUAUCAGCUUGUUGGUGAGGUAAUGGCUCACCAAGGCGACGACGGGUAGCCGGCCUGAGAGGGUGACCGGCCACACUGGGACUGAGACACGGCCCAGACUCCUACGGGAGGCAGCAGUGGGGAAUAUUGCACAAUGGGCGAAAGCCUGAUGCAGCGACGCCGCGUGAGGGAUGACGGCCUUCGGGUUGUAAACCUCUUUCAGUAGGGAAGAAGCGAAAGUGACGGUACCUGCAGAAGAAGCGCCGGCUAACUACGUGCCAGCAGCCGCGGUAAUACGUAGGGCGCAAGCGUUAUCCGGAUUUAUUGGGCGUAAAGAGCUCGUAGGCGGUUUGUCGCGUCUGCCGUGAAAGUCCGAGGCUCAACCUCGGAUCUGCGGUGGGUACGGGCAGACUAGAGUGAUGUAGGGGAGACUGGAAUUCCUGGUGUAGCGGUGAAAUGCGCAGAUAUCAGGAGGAACACCGAUGGCGAAGGCAGGUCUCUGGGCAUUUACUGACGCUGAGGAGCGAAAGCAUGGGGAGCGAACAGGAUUAGAUACCCUGGUAGUCCAUGCCGUAAACGUUGGGCACUAGGUGUGGGGGGACAUUCCACGUUUUCCGCGCCGUAGCUAACGCAUUAAGUGCCCCGCCUGGGGAGUACGGCCGCAAGGCUAAAACUCAAAGGAAUUGACGGGGGCCCGCACAAGCGGCGGAGCAUGCGGAUUAAUUCGAUGCAACGCGAAGAACCUUACCAAGGCUUGACAUGUGCCAGACCGCCUCAGAGAUGGGGUUUCCCUUCGGGGCUGGUUCACAGGUGGUGCAUGGUUGUCGUCAGCUCGUGUCGUGAGAUGUUGGGUUAAGUCCCGCAACGAGCGCAACCCUCGUUCCAUGUUGCCAGCACGUAAAGGUGGGGACUCAUGGGAGACUGCCGGGGUCAACUCGGAGGAAGGUGGGGAUGACGUCAAAUCAUCAUGCCCCUUAUGUCUUGGGCUUCACGCAUGCUACAAUGGCCGGUACAAUGGGUUGCGAUACUGUGAGGUGGAGCUAAUCCCUAAAAGCCGGUCUCAGUUCGGAUUGGGGUCUGCAACUCGACCCCAGGAAGUGGGAGUCGCUAGUAAUCGCAGAUCAGCAACGUUGCGGUGAAUACGUUCCCGGGCCUUGUACACACCGCCCGUCAAGUCACGAAAGUUGGUAACACCCGAAGCCGAUGGCCUAACCAC